GUGGAGCAUGUGGCUUAAUUUGACUCAACGCGGGGAAUCUUACUAGGUCAGGACCAUCGAGUCGUUCGCGACUCGUACGUAUGAAUGUCGUAGUGUCGCUACUACACAAUUGUUGGAUGAGUGGUGCAUGGCCGUUCUUAGUUCGUGAUGCAAUUUGUCUACUUAAUUGUUGGUACCGGUGUUUCAUCGCACUGGUACCGUAACGAACGAGACCGUGUUGCGACAUUAUCGUACGUACACAGAGCAACCGCAAACUUGUUAGGAAGGACGCGGCAAUAACAGGUCUGUGAUGCCCUCAGAUGUUCUAGGCCGCACACGUGCUACAAUCUGAUUGUCGCCACGUAUGCAUGUAAGAUUCACCGCUGCGAGUCGAACUAAUCUACGACGGUUGGGAUUACCGAUUGAUUGAUAAAAAAAUUAUUCGGUAUCACAACUAGGAAUGCCUCGUACGGUGCAGUUCAACAGAUUCCCUGGAAUCCGUCCCUGCCCUUUGUACACACCGCCCGUCGCUCUUACCGAUGGUGGUGGGUUCGAGUUGUGACGAAUGAUGUCUCGUACAUUGUGAAUCGCCACGAGAACCCACUGCUAAAGGAAAGAGAAGUCGUAACAAGGCAUCG
rnacentral:rRNA from 1 species